GAUGAACGCUGGCGGCGUGCCUAAUACAUGCAAGUCGAGCGAACAGAUGAGGAGCUUGCUCCUUUGACGUUAGCGGCGGACGGGUGAGUAACACGUGGAUAACCUACCUAUAAGACUGGGAUAACUUCGGGAAACCGGAGCUAAUACCGGAUAACAUGUUGAACCGCAUGGUUCAAUAGUGAAAGGCGGUUUUGCUGUCACUUAUAGAUGGAUCCGCGCCGCAUUAGCUAGUUGGUGAGGUAACGGCUCACCAAGGCAACGAUGCGUAGCCGACCUGAGAGGGUGAUCGGCCACACUGGAACUGAGACACGGUCCAGACUCCUACGGGAGGCAGCAGUAGGGAAUCUUCCGCAAUGGGCGAAAGCCUGACGGAGCAACGCCGCGUGAGUGAUGAAGGUCUUCGGAUCGUAAAACUCUGUUAUUAGGGAAGAACAAAUGCGUAAGUAACUGUGCGCGUCUUGACGGUACCUAAUCAGAAAGCCACGGCUAACUACGUG
rnacentral:rRNA from 1 species